CACGAUCAAUCCAUAGCGUGAGCGAGAAACAAUAAGGGAAACAAGAUUUCGUCGAAGGGGCGAAAAUUCAUCCUCCUUCAGCGGGAAGUUCGAGGAGUGAAAGAAGAGGUGGGCUCUCCUCGCGGCUACGACUUGCAACCUACAAUUCGGUGGCUACGAAACGGCUACACCCUUUCACGAGCGCGCGGCUCAGCCACUCGUGGAACCGACCAGCUUCGCCCCGAGUGGCAAGUGUGGCGGGAAUUAUGCAAUUAUUGCAUUGCGCCCGACAAUUGUCGCGGAAAACGGCGAGAGUGCCUGAAUGGCCUGAGUGUCGAAGGGCUAACGGGACUCGUCGAAAUUUGUCUUCAAGAACUUGAAGAGGUUCCUGAACAAGCUGAAACAAGUGGGAAUUAGGAAAUUUUUUAGAAAUUUGUAGAACGUUUCACGAGAUGCCAUUUCGAAGAAUUCUGCUACGAAACGUCGAAUCCCGAGGAACAAUGCCGCACGUUAUCGCGGGACUAGUUCAUUGUUUUACAUCUCUCGUUUUCUGCCAUCGACGAGACGAAUUUCUAAAUUGUAAAAACUAUUAAAUUAUGUGCAUCGACGAUGGGGGAACAAUUACCGUACGAACGUCGUGGAGGAGGGGAGGAGGAGUCAGUGCUAUGAUAACGAGACGAUCCGCAAAUAAAGAGGACCUGCAGGAUAUCUGCAAACACGAGCGAAGCAAACGGGCCGGUUCAUUAAUAUUCCCUCGUAGGUUUCGAACAAGGAACGCGCGGUGAACUCUCGAGGUCCCUCCGACCUAAGCUAUAAAAAUUAAUUAGCUCUUAGAAGGAGAGGUCGACCAGGCGAAGCGUCUA